rnacentral:misc_RNA from 1 species
UGCGGGAGAGUAGGUUAUUGCCAGGGUUUUUAUUUUUAUACUUUAAACUUUGAUUUUAUUUUUAUGUUUUUUAAAUAUUGGUGUUUUUGAAUGUGUUGUUUAAAUAACAUAAAAAAUAAAAUAUAUAUUGACAUGUAUUAAACAAAGAUAUAUAUUAUUUUAUGUUGUAUAAAUAAAUUGGCAAAAUAGAGAUGGAAGAUAAAAAUAUGGUCAAAGUAAUAAGAGUCUAUGGUGAAUGCC